AUGACUCCUACGGAAGAAGAUGCCGAUAAAGACCUGACGAUGGAUGGAUCCGGUCGAAAGGAAAUGCCGGACUUGAAGAUGGAGAAAUGCAGACUGAGAAGGUCGCCGCGUAAGGUGGCGCAGCCCUGUGCCGCAGCAGCAAAAGCAGCAGUAGCAUGCGAGGCCUCAAGUAAAGGGAAGCAAAGAGGCGCCCGUGGGCCAAAAAAGCUCACUGGCUUGCAGGGGUCAGAUGCCUCAGUAAUCCCUUCCAUUCGCUUCGGCUUCAACACCAAACAGGUGAUGAGCCUGUCGACUUUUUGGUACCCUCAUUUCAAGCGUACGGGGUUAGGAGCACUACUAAGCACUCGAGCAUGUGGUGGUGGAGACAAGAAAAUGUACUGGAGUUUACUUAGAUGCAUAGAUUCAAAGCGGAAGACCAUGACAUUCCCUGAUAAACAAGUUAGAUCCAUCUCGGUACAGGACGUAGAGCAUAUUACAGGCAUCCAGUCUGGACCUGUGCCUGUCCCAACACACCUGAGCCCAUCCAGCAGGCUGGAUGUGUUGUGGCAGGUUCAGGAUAUGCAUGGUCUAGCACGGACAGUAAAAGGCACAAUACAAGUUAAUCAACUAAUGAGUGUCAUCGGCCGUUUUGAUCGAAGAACAACUAAUGAGAAAGAGAUUGACAUUGCAAAUGUUGCCUACACUCUGCUAGUGUGUGCCACCAUGAUUUGUCCUAGAUACACAAGUGCAGAUGUGCCUGACGAAGUCCUUCUAUGUGUACUGGAUCCCUCUAAAAUUCACACAUACAACUGGGGUCAGUAUCUGCUUGAUGGAAUCAUGGUAAGCGCGGACAAGGCCCAAAAACUUGAGGCUGAGCAGGUCAAUAUCGCCGUAGUAGGAGGCUUCCAACUUGUGCCCCAAAUACUCUUUGUGGAUUGGAUCAAUUUUGAAGCACACUGCAUGAUGGACAAUGCCUGGCCGUGUGUCUUUGCAUACACAUACGAAAAACUAAAAGACAUGUUUGCACUUGCAAGAGAAGCUACAAGUCGUUUGAAAGUAAUAACUCUGACUCUUUUCUCUUAUGUCUAUUUUUAA
rnacentral:rRNA from 1 species